GAUGAAACUCAGGCCUUUGGGUCUGAGACAGCAAAAAGUACUGCCCAAAAGUACUGUUUGUGUCUGCAAGUGCAUUUGGCAGCUUGGAUGCAUCUCCUUUUUUACAGGUUUGCUUGAGGAAGGAGCCCAUCAGAAGACCCUACAGUGUCCAUACUCUCCCUGUGCUGCAGAGACUCUUCUCCAUAAAAGAAGGCUUCCUAUCUGCUGGAGAAUUUACCUGUGUCCAACCAAAGCAGUUCCCAGUUCACCUCCAGGUCUGCUGAUGAGCUCCAGUGCUGGCAUCUGCUCCUCCUGGGCUGCUCUGAGGCAGGGCCACGGCUCAGCUGUGCUUGGCACGCAGGAGGGAGGUUCACUCUGUGUCUGCAGAUGAAGGGGAACACACAUUCCAGAAGCCACAUGUGUGUAUCAAGGAGCAGAUUCUUGCUGAUCCCAGGCCAACAGGACCAGCUGGUGGGCAAACUCCCCUGACUGAGCUGCCAGUGAAGGACUUGCACCCAGCUGGAUUUGGGAGUGAACAGCCACAUAUCAAAGUCCAGGUGAGCAAAGUCAGGCAGAUCCUUCAGAAGUCAAAGCUCCAUGAAGUGCAGACACCUUGAUGUCUACAGCACCUUUCCAACUGGGAAGAACUUUGCAGACAUCAUGGAAGUGCAGCCAGCUCCGGGGAGGAGAAGGGUGGCUCAUGGACAGGGCUGAACCACUCAAACCCUGGGGUUACAACCUCCCCCAGUCCUUCUGCAGCCACAGCUGUGGCUCCCUGGAAUGGUCCAAAUGCCUUCAUUGUUUUGCCCAAGGCCAUGCUGGAGGUUGAUUGCAGAGCUGAGAAUUAAACCAGGUUAAAUUCCCAGGCCAUGAACUUUCCUUCCUUUCCUCGGAAAGAUCCAAAAGGGAUGUCUUGGUGUGUGAUCCAGCAGCUAAUCCUGCACGACGCCCGGCGACCGCGGCAAGUUUGAUGACUGCAGUUGGUGACACUUAGUUACCCAGAAGUGCUAUCAGCUCUGUAACACAAUUUGCAGCAAGUCACCAUUAAUUAAUGCUAAGUUAUGAAGCACUUCCAGGGAAAGUGACACACCAAAUGGACAUCAGUGCAGGAAGAGUUCAUUAUGGCUCAUGUUACGACAAUAAAAGACGGAGGAAUUAAUGAUGAA